ACCGCCCAGGGCAAACCCGGCGUGAGUCGGGGACGCGAAGCCAGGGAUCUUCGAGAAGGAAUGUUCGAAGACCGCCCGGUUGCCGGAG
rnacentral:ncRNA from 1 species